UUAAAGCCCAUUAAUUCAUUUAUUGCCUCCAUUUGGUUCUCAACAUGCAAGUCAGCAAAAUUCGUAGAAAGGAGAAAUAAAUCAUAUCCCUCAUCCUUCUCCAUGAAGGCUUAAACGCAUUGCAAAUUGAUAGCAAAGAGGCAAUAAAAUAAACAUGGUUUUUUGUUUUCAUUCUGUCGGGGUUUUUUUUGGAAUGUAAAAAGGUUUGGUUUUCCCGUUACAUAAUAGCAAAUAACGUGAUGAUUAAACAAAUAGAAAAGGGAAUAAACGUGGGAGAAUUUUAGAACUGUCACAGUGUUACUUCUUGUAUAUAAAUCUUUUGCAAAGAUUAAAACUUCCAUAUUCUUUGAUAAUUUUUUUUUUUGGUUAAACUCAAAGGAACUAAAUGGAUGUAGUGAGUGGAGGUUCGGAAGGAGACAUUAGGCUUCAUAAUUUCAUCCCCAGAUCGAUCUCUGGUGCUCUAUUUGGUGCCCUUACCUGUAUCUUCGCCUUUUCGGGGCGUUGGUGGGUGCUAUCACUGGUGCUGUGGCAGGUAGAACUUCUGAUUGUGGGGCCUUCCGUGGAGCUGGACUCGGUGCUCUUGCUGGGGCUGUUCUUUCAGUCGAGAUUUUGGAGACUUUACGUGUUUUUUCGCGUCAAGGACUUGCUGACAUACCGAACUCCUCAAGGGUGAAUUUUAUGGAGGAGCUUUUUCGUGGAAGGUUGUCAGAGCUACAUUUUCUACCUGAAGUCUUAACAGCAAAUCAUUUGCAGGUAAAUGUGCAUCUCGUUGAAGUAGCUUACAAAGGGUUGUGAGAGGAUUCAUUGAGAUGCUUGCCAUGGCACCGGAUGUCAGAUAAAAUUAAACCGAUUCAAGCCAUCUUUUGCCCAAUAUGUUUGGAGGUUGCAUUUCUCCUGAAAUCUAUACAUCAUAAAUUCAUAGAUUUAUUCGAUAUACAUCACAAAUCUUAAAGUUUUAUUCAGUAUACAUCACAAAGUUUCAAAGCUUUAUUUCAUGUAUAUCCCAAACUAGUACAUGAACUAGCAUCAUAUAAAGUAUGUGACUGACUAUGGCAGGACAUCAAAGUAGGUGAAAUUGCUCGGAUUUUGCCUCACUGUCAACACAUGUUUCACUUGAUUUGUGUGGAUAAGUGGUUCACUCGACAUUGCUCAUGCCCCACCUGCCGACAACAUGUAUGAGAUUUUGUUCGAGGUGACAACAUUGUUGAAAGUUAUAUAGUUAUCACGAGAGUAUCAUAAAAGGACUUGUUCUGGUUAUAUUUUAUGUUAUGUAGUAUUUUGUGCAGAUUGUAAUAAUAAAAGGGUCAAGUUGAAGUUUUUCUAAAGUAAAUGGACUAUUGGGUUUGGUAUUGGUUUCGGCCAUAUUUGGUCUGAUACUUUAACCGGUGUAUUUAAUGUGUUAUUGUGUUCAUUUUGGGUCAU